GCUUCCAUAGCUCAGCAGGUAGAGCGCUUCCAUGGUAAGGAAGAGGUCAUCGGUUCGAAUCCGGUUGGAAGCU
rnacentral:tRNA from 1 species